GUAGGGAAUAUUGGACAAUGGGCGAAAGCCUGAUCCAGCCAUGCCGCGUGAUAGAUGAAGGCCCUCUGGGUUGUAAAUAUCUUUUAUCUGGGAAGAAACUCCUCUAUUCUUAGAGGCCUGACGGUACCAGAGGAAUAAGCACCGGCUAACUCCGUGCCAGCAGCCGCGGUAAUACGGAGGGUGCAAGCGUUAUCCGGAUUCACUGGGUUUAAAGGGUGCGUAGGCGGGUUGAUAAGUCAGUGGUGAAAGCUCCGGGCUUAACUUGGAAACUGCCAUUGAUACUGUAAAUCUUGAAUGUCGUAGAGGUAAGCGGAAUGUUGCAUGUAGCGGUGAAAUGCUUAGAUAUGUUACAGAACACCAAUUGCGAAGGCAGCUUACUAUGCGAUAAUUGACGCUGAGGCACGAAAGCGUGGGGAUCAAACAGGAUUAGAAACCCGUGUAGUCC
rnacentral:rRNA from 1 species